CAUGCCGUAAACGUUGGGUGCUAGACGUGGGGGCCUUUCCACGGUUUCCGUGUCGUAGCUAACGCAUUAAGCACCCCGCCUGGGGAGUACGGCCGCAAGGCUAAAACUCAAAGGAAUUGACGGGGGCCCGCACAAGCGGCGGAGCAUGCGGAUUAAUUCGAUGCAACGCGAAGAACCUUACCAGGACUUGACAUCCUACUAACGAGGUAGAGAUACGUCAGGUGCCCUUCGGGGAAAGUAGAGACAGGUGG
rnacentral:rRNA from 1 species